rnacentral:rRNA from 1 species
UACAGAGGGGCAAGCGUUGUUCGGAAUUACUGGGCGUAAAGGGCGCGUAGGCGGCCUGUUAAGUCGAACGUGAAAUCCCCGGGCUCAACCCGGGAACUGCGUCCGAUACUGGGAGGCUUGAAUCCGGGAGAGGGAUGUGGAAUUCCAGGUGUAGCGGUGAAAUGCGUAGAUAUCUGGAGGAAUACCGGUGGCGAAGGCGGCAAUCCUGGACCGGCAUUG